UACGAAGGGGGCUAGCGUUGUUCGGAUUUACUGGGCGUAAAGCGCACGUAGGCGGAUCGUUAAGUCGGGGGUGAAAUCCUGGAGCUCAACUCCAGAACUGCCUUCGAUACUGGCGAUCUUGAGUCCGGAAGAGGUGAGUGGAACUCCUAGUGUAGAGGUGGAAUUCGUAGAUAUUAGGAAGAACACCAGUGGCGAAGGCGGCUCACUGAUCCGAUACUGACGCUGAAAUACGAAAGCGUAAAAAGCAAAC
rnacentral:rRNA from 1 species